UAUCUCUGUAGAGUCUGCAUAUCAAUAAGCGGAGGAAAAGAAACUAACAAGGAUUCCCUUAGUAACGGCGAGUGAAGCGGGAAGAGCUCAAAUUUGAAAUCUUCAAGGUUCUACCUUGACGAAUUGUAGUUUAAAGAAGUGUUUUCUGUUAGAUGAGUAGCAAAAGUUCCUUGGAAUGGGACAUCAUAGAGGGUGAGAAUCCCGUAUUUGGUUAUUCAUUCUAGCUUUGUGAUACACUUUCAAAGAGUCGGAUUGUUUGGGAAUGCAGUCCAAAAUGGGUGGUAAAUUUCAUCUAAAGCUAAAUAUUGGCGAGAGACCGAUAGCGAACAAGUACCGUGAGGGAAAGAUGAAAAGAACUUUGAAAAGGGAGUUAAACAGUACGUGAAAUUGUCAAAAGGGAGGCGUUUGACACCAGUGUUGUUUUUCCGAAAAUCAAUUACGAAUGGCUUGAUUUUGUGUUGUAUUGACCUUAUCAGCUUUCUGCACUUUUUUCGAGUCUUUCUUAAUGCACUUUUCGGUUAACAAGUCAACAUCAAUUUCUUUUGUUGUAAAAGAGUAUUCGGAAGGUGGCUUUCUUUUCGGAGAAAGUGUUUAUAGCCCUAUACUUCUACAAUCGGAGAGAUUGAGGUCUGCAGCGUAGAUCCUUCGGGGUUAGAUACAUUUGUACUAAGUUGUAGCUUUUCAUAGACAACUUGUUGACUAUGUUUAGUCAUGCGGCUUACUCGCUUAUGCUAUUUUACCUACGCUUAGGAUGUUGACUGAUAUGUAGUCGU
rnacentral:rRNA from 1 species